AUUGAACGCUGGCGGCAGGCUUAACACAUGCAAGUCGAGCGGGGUGAUGGUGCUUGCACUAUCACUUAGCGGCGGACGGGUGAGUAAUGCUUAGGAAUCUGCCUAUUAGUGGGGGACAACAUCUCGAAAGGGAUGCUAAUACCACAUACGUCCUACGGGAGAAAGCAGGGGAUCACUUGUGACCUUGCGCUAAUAGAUGAGCCUAAGUCGGAUUAGCUAGUUGGUAGGGUAAAGGCCUACCAAGGCGACGAUCUGUAGCGGGUCUGAGAGGAUGAUCCGCCACACUGGGACUGAGACGCGGCCCAGACUCCUACGGGAGGCAGCAGUGGGGAAUAUUGGACAAUGGGGGGAACCCUGAUCCAGCCAUGCCGCGUGUGUGAAGAAGGCCUUAUGGUUGUAAAGCACUUUAAGCGAGGAGGAGGCUCUUUUGGUUAAUACCCAAGACGAGUGGACGUUACUCGCAGAAUAAGCACCGGCUAACUCUGUGCCAGCCGCCGCGGUAA
rnacentral:rRNA from 1 species